rnacentral:misc_RNA from 1 species
GAUGAAGAACGCAGCGAAAUGCGAUACGUAAUGUGAAUUGCAGAAUUCAGUGAAUCAUCGAAUCUUUGAACGCACAUUGCACUCUCUGGUAUUCCGGAGAGUAUGCUUGUUUGAGUAUCUGUAAACAUCUCAAAUCUCUCUUCAAUUGCUUCAAUUGGGUCGAGAGAAUUGGAUUUGAGCGAUCCCGACUCCUUCGUCAGAAAGAGGAGGGUCGCUUGAAAUGCAGGUGCAGCUGGACAUUCUUCUGAGCAAAAAGCAUAUCUAUUUAGUCCCGUCAAACGGAUUAUUACUUUUGCUUCAGCUAAUAUAAAGGUUGAAUGAACUACCAACGCUGAUUGCAGGAAAACAUGUUUGUUUAUUCGGACUUGUAAACUCGAUCUCAAAUCAAGUAAGACUACCCGCUGAACUUAAGCAUAUCAAUAAGCGGAGGA